UACGAAGGGGGCUAGCGUUGUUCGGAUUUACUGGGCGUAAAGCGCACGUAGGCGGAUUGUUAAGUCAGAGGUGAAAUCCUGGAGCUCAACUCCAGAACUGCCUUUGAUACUGGCAAUCUCGAGUCCGAGAGAGGUGAGUGGAACUCCUAGUGUAGAGGUGGAAUUCGUAGAUAUUAGGAAGAACACCAGUGGCGAAGGCGGCUCACUGGCUCGGUACUGACGCUGAGGUGCGAAAGCGUGGGGAGCGAACAGG
rnacentral:rRNA from 1 species